AUUGAACGCUGGCGGCAGGCCUAACACAUGCAAGUCGAACGGUAACAGGAAGAAGCUUGCUUCUUUGCUGACGAGUGGCGGACGGGUGAUUAAUGUCUGGGAAACUGCCUGAUGGAGUGGGAUAACUACUGGAAACGGUAGCUAAUACCGCAUAACUUCGCAAGACCAAAGAGGGGGACCUUCGGGCCUCUUGCCAUCGGAUGUGCCCAGAUGGGAUUAGCUAGUAGGUGGGGUAACGGCUCACCUAGGCGACGAUCCCUAGCUGGUCUGAGAGGAUGACCAGCCACACUGGAACUGAGACACGGUCCAGACUCCUAAGGGAGGCAGCAGUGGGGAAUAUUGCACAAUGGGCGAAAGCCUGAUGCAGCCAUGCCGCGUGUAUGAAGAAGGCCUUCGGGUUGUAAAGUACUUUCAGCGGGGAGGAAGGGAGUAAAGUUAAUACCUUUACUCAUUGACGUUACCCGAAGAAGAAGCACCGGCUAACUCCGUG
rnacentral:rRNA from 1 species